rnacentral:misc_RNA from 1 species
ACCCUCAAUUCUAGCAGUGUUGUCAAGCAAUGAGUUUUCUUGUGUAAUGGCAACACCCUGUUUUGCGAAUAUCAGGCCAGCUUCACGGAAGGCCUUCUGAACUUCUAGCAAGCCAUUUCGGGUUUCUGGAGUGCCUCCACUCUUUGAAAUAACAAUAACAAGUGUUGAAGCCAGCUCAGGGCCAAGUUGCGCAAUUUGAUGAUCAAUGCCUGCUGGAUCUGUAUUGUCGAUAAAUCUUAUCUUCAGAGGAGGGUUGUCAGGUGCCAAUGCCUCAGCCACAAAUUGUGGUCCAAGAGCUGAA